rnacentral:tRNA from 1 species
GUUUUAAUAGUUUAAUCAAAAUAAUGAUUUUGUAAUUCAUAGAAAAGAUAAAUUUCUUUUAAAACU